UGGACCACGCCGCUCCAGUCUGCCGGGCAUGUGGGACGAGAUGGUUCCCUCACUGUGCCCUGUCUCGGUGUUAUGUCCCAGAGAGGCCUGACAUGGUGUCCGAGGAGUAAAUACGGCGUCUUUUCUCCCUGUAAAAUUGACUGAGAAGCCACCGCUUAAGAAAGAGCGAAGGUGUUCCAUCGGCCCGAAUUCUUAACCUCCUGCUAGAUAAAGCUCAGGACCUGCUGGGAGGUGGAGAUCUAGCUGAGAAGGAGCCUGGGCUCCUGAAAGAGUCCGUGGUGGAGAUGAAUAAAACUUCCGCGGGAGCCACUGCGGUUGGGUGAGCUUGUCACAGCGGCUCAGGUUACUGACUGCCUGUGUCUUCAACCUCACUCUUCGGGUGAGGCAGCUGAACCACAGAGAGGUUCACGCGUGCCUCGGCCUGAAGCUGCUGACCUUGCAUGGCUGUGUGACAUCGAGACGCCCGCAUUCCACGUCAGAGUGCCUGGGUUCGAGUCCCGGUUUGGCUUCCGAUCUCAGCUUCCUGCCAGGUCACCCCCAGGAGCUAGCAAGUGAUGACUCAGGUGAUCCAUCGGGUCCCCACCACCCACGUGAGAGACUUGGGUUGAGUUCCUGGCUCCUGGCUUCCACAUGGUCCAGCCAUGGCCAUUGCAGACAUUUAGGAAGGGAACCAGCAGGUGGAAGUGAACCUGUCUAUUUCUCUACCAGAUAGAUAGAUAGAUAGAUAGAUAAAUAUUUAGAUAGACAGAUAUGCAAGUCAUUAUAUUUCCACGGGACCUUAAGCAUCCAAUUUCACCCUCUGGGCCUCGGGUUCCCACCUACAAAAAGAGGACAA
rnacentral:lncRNA from 1 species